ACCGAAGUGCUGGAAUUGGUAGACAGGCAUGGUUGAGGGCCAUGUGUUCAUUAGAGCGUGUGGGUUCGACUCCCAUCUUCGGUAC
rnacentral:tRNA from 1 species